UUGAUUGGUGCUUGCAUCAUGAUUUACAUUUGAGUGAGUGGCGAACUGGUGAGUAACACGUGGGAAACCUGCCCAGAAGCGGGGGAUAACACCUGGAAACAGAUGCUAAUACCGCAUAACAACUUGGACCGCAUGGUCCGAGCUUGAAAGAUGGCUUCGGCUAUCACUUUUGGAUGGUCCCGCGGCGUAUUAGCUAGAUGGUGGGGUAACGGCUCACCAUGGCAAUGAUACGUAGCCGACCUGAGAGGGUAAUCGGCCACAUUGGGACUGAGACACGGCCCAAACUCCUACGGGAGGCAGCAGUAGGGAAUCUUCCACAAUGGACGAAAGUCUGAUGGAGCAACGCCGCGUGAGUGAAGAAGGGUUUCGGCUCGUAAAACUCUGUUGUUAAAGAAGAACAUAUCUGAGAGUAACUGUUCAGGUAUUGACGGUAUUUAACCAGAAAGCCACGGCUAACUACGUGCCAGCAGCCGCGGUAAUACGUAGGUGGCAAGCGUUGUCCGGAUUUAUUGGGCGUAAAGCGAGCGCAGGCGGUUUUUUAAGUCUGAUGUGAAAGCCUUCGGCUCAACCGAAGAAGUGCAUCGGAAACUGGGAAACUUGAGUGCAGAAGAGGACAGUGGAACUCCAUGUGUAGCGGUGAAAUGCGUAGAUAUAUGGAAGAACACCAGUGGCGAAGGCGGCUGUCUGGUCUGUAACUGACGCUGAGGCUCGAAAGUAUGGGUAGCAAACAGGAUUAGAUACCCUGGUAGUCCAUACCGUAAACGAUGAAUGCUAAGUGUUGGAGGGUUUCCGCCCUUCAGUGCUGCAGCUAACGCAUUAAGCAUUCCGCCUGGGGAGUACGGCCGCAAGGCUGAAACUCAAAGGAAUUGACGGGGGCCCGCACAAGCGGUGGAGCAUGUGGUUUAAUUCGAAGCUACGCGAAGAACCUUACCAGGUCUU
rnacentral:rRNA from 2 species